ACAAGUUCAACGGCCGCGGUAUUUUGACCGUGCAAAGGUAGCGCAAUCACUUGUCUUUUAAAUAGAGACCUGUAUGAAUGGCCAAACGAGGGCUUAACUGUCUCCCUUUUCAAGUCAGUGAAAUUGAUCUACCCGUGCAGAAGCGGGUAUAACGAUACAAGACGAGAAGACCCUUUGGAGCUUAAGGUACAAAACUCAACCACGUUAAGCAACUUAAUAAAAAGUAAAAACUUUGUGAAACAUGAGAUUUUACCUUCGGUUGGGGCGACCGCGGAGGAAAAAAAAGCCUCCAAGUGGACCGGGACAAACUCCUAAAACCAAGAGAAACACCUCUAAGCCACAGAACAUCUGACCAAACAUGAUCCGGCCACCAGGACCGAUCAACGAACCAAGUUACCCUAGGGAUAACAGCGCAAUCCUCUCCCAGAGUCCAUAUCGACGAGAGGGUUUACGACCUCGAUGUUGGAUCAGGACAUCCUAAUGGUGCAGCCGCUAUUAAGGGUUCGUUUGUUCAACGAUUAAAGUCCUACGUGAUC
rnacentral:rRNA from 1 species